GGAGAACAGAGAGAACAUGAGCUUUAUUUUGAAAGAUAUUUAUGACCCCCAAAGUUUAGUAAAUGUCAAGUGGGUGUUGUGUAGAACUGAGAGAGACCAUUCUCAGGAGAACAUCCGUCUUCAUUAUUCUGCUUCUUUGAGCCUGGAACUGAGUUUCAUGAGAUACAACCCCUUGGAAACUGAAACCAAGGAAUCUUUUCUACAAAUCUAAGGAUGGAAACUGCUGAGUUUCAGACAGGUCUGUAUACAGCUCAGUCUUCUUUUUAGCUCCCCUGAGAUCCUGCAGUCCGUAAUUGAGAAUAAAAGAUACAAAAUAGCUGUAUAUGCUCUGCAUUGUUCUGUGAUCUAAAGUCUCUUCCUAAUUUCCUGUUGCACAGUUCUGUAUGAAAAUCCAGAACAUGGUGGUUGCAUCUUUGGAGCUAGGGAAUGGAAACAACAUGUUUAGGAUGAUCUUAUGCUCUAUCUAGGCUUGGCUGCAACAGCAAACAAAACACAGAAGUCUGUGACUGUAAUAUGCAUCAGGCCCAGACUUACGGGCCUCUGUUGACAGUCUGCCUCUCCGGUUGGUUUAUGUCCUCCUCACCGUGCUUGCUUCAGGCCUGGCCAGAAGUUGUGGAGGCAGGUGGGGGAGCUAAGCGGCUUCACAGAUGCUCCACGUGGUGCCACCUUGUGCUAGCAUUGCUAACCUUUUACCCCUCACAUAAAUCCAUGUCUCUUACUGCUCUUAACUGAGAGCUGAACUGGGGCCUCUGUGAGGUUGGAUGUGUCUCCUGUGCACUGCCAGCAGCAAGGCUGAGACUCCACCAAAGCACCUAAUGCUUCAUCUAGACCACCCAACAAUAGUGUGAGGUCAAGCAUUGCUGGAACCUAGUCCUGGGGGUGUCCAGAUCUGGCUAGAGUGAACUUCACACUCUACCAGCAAAUGUACUGCAGCAUCCUCUCCAUAGGAAGAGGAGAGGCAGGGAAGGGAGAACAUUACCCAUAUUUUUUUAUUUUUUAUUUUUUUUCCCCAAGAUAGAUGUACCUGGGCCUUCUAGGAAGUAAGAAAUGCUCUCAGUUUCUGCAACUGGACAUAGUUCUGGUUGGACUUAUGCCCUCUGAAGAAACCUCUAUCAUGACUAUACAAGGACUCCAAGGAGACCUGUGCUUCAACACAGAUAUUCAUAUAACGUGUUUGAAGAUAGGUGUUCUCAUCAUCCUCCAUUUUGUUAAUCUGUAAUAUUGAUUUGAAUAGUUUUAAGUAAUUUUAUUUCACUAUUUAUAUAGACUAAAUCGAUAAUACUGACACUGUAAUCAGGUAUGACAACUUUCACAUUAAAUUUCUG